rnacentral:rRNA from 1 species
AAUGGUGACUAUAGCGAACGGGUAUACCUCUUCCCAUUCCGAACAGAGAAGUCAAGUCGUUCAGCGCUGAUGGUACUGCCUUUAGGUGGGAGAGUAGGUCGUUGCCAUUU